rnacentral:rRNA from 1 species
GUUGAACGCUGGCGGCAUGCCUUACACAUGCAAGUCGAACGGUAACAGGUCUUCGGAUGCUGACGAGUGGCGAACGGGUGAGUAAUACAUCGGAACGUGCCUAGUAGUGGGGGAUAACUACUCGAAAGAGUGGCUAAUACCGCAUGAGAUCUACGGAUGAAAGCAGGGGAUCGCAAGACCUUGUGCUACUAGAGCGGCCGAUGGCAGAUUAGGUAGUUGGUGGGAUAAAAGCUUACCAAGCCGACGAUCUGUAGCUGGUCUGAGAGGACGAUCAGCCACACUGGGACUGAGACACGGCCCAGACUCCUACGGGAGGCAGCAGUGGGGAAUUUCGGACAAUGGGCGCAAGCCUGAUCCAGCAAUGCCGCGUGCAGGAUGAAGGCCUUCGGGUUGUAAACUGCUUUUGUACGGAACGAAAAGCCCUGGGUUAAUACCCUGGGGUCAUGACGGUACCGUAAGAAUAAGCACCGGCUAACUACGUGCCAGCCGCCGCAGUAAUAC